GCUCCGCUGGCGCAAUGGUAGCGCGCUAGACUUCUAAACGAAGUCCAUCUAGAGGCUCUGGGUUCGAGUCCCAGGCGGAGUG